rnacentral:rRNA from 1 species
GAUGAACGCUGGCGGCGUGCCUAAUACAUGCAAGUAGAACGCUUAAGGAGGAGCUUGCUCUUCUGGAUGAGUUGCGAACGGGUGAGUAACGCGUAGGUAACCUGCCUGGUAGCGGGGGAUAACUAUUGGAAACGAUAGCUAAUACCGCAUGACAACAGUUAUUGCAUGAUAACUGUUGAAAAGGGGCAACUGCUCCACUACCAGAUGGACCUGCGUUGUAUUAGCUAGUUGGUGAGGUAACGGCUCACCAAGGCGACGAUACAUAGCCGACCUGAGAGGGUGAGCGGCCCCACUGGGACCGAGACACGGCCCAGACUCCUACGGGAGGCAGCAGUAGGGAAUCUUCGGAAAUGGACGGAAGUCUGAACGAGCAACGCCGCGGGAGGGAAGAAGGGUCUCGGAUCGGAAAGCUCUGUUGUAAGAGAAGAAAGAGUGUGAGAGUGGAAAGUUCACACUGUGACGGUAGCUUAACAGAAAGGGACGGCUAACUACGUG